GAUGAACGCUGGCGGCGUGCCUAAUACAUGCAAGUAGAACGCUGAAGCUUGGUGCUUGCACCGAGCGGAUGAGUUGCGAACGGGUGAGUAACGCGUAGGUAACCUGCCUCUUAGCGGGGGAUAACUAUUGGAAACGAUAGCUAAUACCGCAUAAAAGUCGAUAUCGCAUGAUGUUGACUUGAAAGGUGCAAUUGCAUCACUAAGAGAUGGACCUGCGUUGUAUUAGCUAGUUGGUGAGGUAACGGCUCACCAAGGCAACGAUACAUAGCCGACCUGAGAGGGUGAUCGGCCACACUGGGACUGAGACACGGCCCAGACUCCUACGGGAGGCAGCAGUAGGGAAUCUUCGGCAAUGGGGGCAACCCUGACCGAGCAACGCCGCGUGAGUGAAGAAGGUUUUCGGAUCGUAAAGCUCUGUUGUAAGAGAAGAACGAGUGUGAGAGUGGAAAGUUCACACUG
rnacentral:rRNA from 1 species